rnacentral:rRNA from 1 species
UACAGAGGGGGCGAGCGUUGUUCGGAAUUACUGGGCGUAAAGGCGCGUAGGUGGCCUGCUAUGUCGAACGUGAAAUCCCUGGGCUCAACCCAGGAACUGCGUCCGAAACUGGCAGGCUCGAAUCCGGGAGAGGGAUGUGGAAUUCCAGGUGUAGCGGUGAAAUGCGUAGAUAUCUGGAGGAACACCGGUGGCGAAGGCGGUUCUCUGGGCCUUACCUGACGCUGAGGAGCGAAAGCGUGGGGAGCGAACAGG